GGUCCUGUGGUCUAGUGGUAUGAUUCUCGCUUAGGGACUUGCGUAAAGCACCGUCCAGCACUAAGCACUGUUGCGAGAGGCCCCGCGUUCGAGUCGCGGCAGGACCC